rnacentral:lncRNA from 1 species
AUGCACAGCUUGCUGAUUCUGAAAAGGCGUAUAAUCAAAGGUGUGUUUACUUUGUUUUGUUUAUUAGGAAAGAAGAGGAGGAUGUGGCAGAGUGUCGGUUUGACCGUGUUGGUGAUCGUGGCCACGCUGAUAUGUGUCCUCCUCUUCAUGCUCUUCGUAAACAGGACUGCACACCCUACCAAUGUCAAGAAUCUGCACAUUAGGAUGAUGUCGAAGUUCCUUCACUUCCAACACAGCACAGUCGCCUCCGCUCUGCAUCCUUGUGCCUCUGGCUUGGGUUGAAGUCGUCCUGCUGUUCCCAUUAGAGCUAGAAAUACUGCACUGACCCCAGCUCAGCCCGACCCUGCCUGUGUGUGAAACUGUGUCCACAGGUCAACUUCUGAAGAAAUGCCAUUAUCACCAAUGUAGACGGUCACAUGUUUUGUUACAUGUUCUUUUAUUACAGUAGAUGUUUUCCCUUCAAUAAAUAUAUUUCAUUAAACAGUUAAGUUGUUUAUAUGAACUCCUACUUUAAUGCAAGUUUUAAUGAUACUUUUAAAACAAAUAAUUCUGACUGUCUGGAGUGGCUUACUAUUGUAAUUUAAAUGAUGUUUUUUUUCUAAGGUACUGUUUUGUACUUCAGUAAUAAGUACUUUCUCAUAAAACACCAAUUUGGUGGCCAUAUAAAUGUAACAGGUACGGCAGUAGUGAUUUUAAAAAAUAUCCACAAGAUGGCAGUAAAAUGAUGAAAUAGACUGACUAUAGAUUGAUUACUUCAUAUAUUAACAUAUGAGUUUGCUGUAUUUAAAUCCUGUUAGUAUUAAUAUGGCCUGCUUCUUAAUAAUGGUAAUUUUACGUCAAACGUAUUAUAAAAAUUAUUAUUAUUAUUAAAUGCAAAAGCACUCUAGUCACUUUUUCUGUCAGCAAAUUUUGCUGCACUUCUAAAAAUGCGCAUAAUGUAAUACAGCAGGUCGCGAAGGUGUGAACUUUUUCAAACACUGAGAAAUAAAAAUAAAAAAUAUGCUUCUAGACUAGAACUUUAAAUUGAUAAGCUUUAUUAAUACGUUUAAAGAAAAAAUUAAAAAUUACCAUAUAUUAAGUACUGCAUAUGUUAUUUCGAAAUAAAUUUGCAGAAUUAAACUUUAUUAAUUAUAAUUGCUUCAGUAAAUAUAAACAUGAAAAGUUUAGCUGAAGCUAAACUUCAGCUUUUUUUUUUUCAGCUUUUGCUGCACUACUAAAAAUAUCCCCCAAGUGGCAGUAAAUACAAAUAAAUAUAAAUAAAUAAGCUUUUACAUUAGAACUUUGAAUUGAUUGGCUAUAUAUUACAUUUAUUUACAUGUUAACAUAAAAUGUACGUUUGUAGUAUUAAAUACUUAUAAUUUUUCCAAUAGCAAUAUGACGUACUUCUGAAUGUCAUUUAAUAACAGUAAUAAAAUAAUUUAAUUAAUUAGAUUUUUGUCACGUUAACUAGCACUAACAAAUGCAAAAGCAGCUUUUGUGCACUUGCAUCUGAUUUCGCUCAGAGGCCCGGGAGUUGCCCCUGAUUGGUCAGGUACGUUGAGACGAAAUAAUAAUUUUCCUGUUUUAACCUGUAUUUUAGUUAACAUUAUGUAUUGUUAUUAACUUUUAUCACUGUCAUUACUUGAGUAUAAAUUAUUAUCCACAAAGUUACUGAAGAGUUUUCUCUUGGACAGUUAAUAUUUUUAAUAUAAGUUACCAAUUAUUUAAAUGAAUAAUUAAUGUGUUUAAAUAAUUGGACGUUUAGUGGCCAAAUACCAAAUAAUGGACAAACAAACAAACAAAAAAACCUCUCUGCUCUCGCGAGCGCCACCUGGUGGAGAUGCAUGCAGUGGACAUGUAAGUGCCUGCAGCUGCUUUAAUCAGCAAUAGACCUUUCUGUAAUUUUAAACAGAGUUCAUGACCCUCUCUCUAUCCAUAUUAUUUUAAAACAUAGUAAAAUAUAAAAUAUACGCUGGUUAAAUCAAAUGAAAGAGCUCAGAAAAACCAGGCCAUCAGUGUUUGACCAGAAAUGCAAGAUUUCAAGCACUUAUGCAGAAACUGUCAGUAGCUUAUAUCAUUUUUAAGAGAGGUGCCUACCCCUCUCUUAGUCCACAACAUUUUAAAACCUAUUGAAAUAUAUGCAGCAUUUACAAAAUAAAAGAGGGAAGAGAGGCUUUGCCAUGUACAGAAGCUGUAAUUUUGAGGCCUUAGAAUACUUUACAGGAAAUAGUUGUGGUAAGCCACGGAAAUAACAUCACUAGAGCUGCUCUGGUCGCCACUGUAUUCACAGGUCAGACCUUCCAGUCACCCCCCCCACACCCCCACCUUACUCUUGCUUUUCUGCAUAAGGGUUGCAAACAUCAGGCAUGCAAACCUGUGGUGUCGUUGUUUGUGAUGCAGCAAACAUUCUCACAACAUGCUCAGCAAUGCAAGGUACCUUUCCUCUGUUGCUUGUCAACAUCAGGGGUCAUUAAAGGUUUUUGGAAGCAUUUGGAAAAGUUUUAAUGCUGAACAGAUGUUGAUUUUUGGCAAAUUUGCAUGAAAACCAAUGGGGGACAAUUUGACCCCAACACAAAAGUUGUAACUAGGUUUGUACAGCUUUUAAAAAGCACACCUAUGUGUCAACUUUGCAUGCACAUUCAUGACCCUAAAUGAGAAAUAUUCAAGAAGACAUAAAUAGAUUAACCAAUAUUUUAACCAGUUUGAAAAUUGAGUGUGAUACAAAUUGACCCACGACAUAAAUAGAUUAACCAAUAUUUUAACCAGUUUGAAAAUUGAGUGUGAUACAAAUUGACCCACAACACAGCAGGAGGCUUUAAAGUCUAUGUGAAUUCAAAAUGUACUAUUUUGCUUUCCUGUCUCACAUUUUGGAUUAUGCAAGUUGCAAACAAUUAUCAUACUUUAAUUGAGCAUUUUUGCACUUUUUGGGCUUCCUGAAUACUAAAAUGAAAUGUGUUUUUUUCAUUAAGUUCACAUGAAGAAGUGAAUCUGGUUGGUUGACUUAUUUAGAGUGAGUUGUGAGGCAGUGAUUGGAUAACUCAACCCUCCCUCCUCAGGCUCUUUAAUUCAGUGCAGAUCCAACUUGAGACAUAUCCAAGACCGCAGAACUCCCCCUGAUGCCAUUAUUAGAGUGAAAUAAAUCACUAGGAAAGGGUCUGGAGAGAGCAAUGGUAAGAAUGUACCACUCUCUCACCAUGUUUACUGAAAGUUUCUUUCUGAACGCUUUCUCUUUGUCUCCCCGAGGAGAACUUAGUCCUGAAUGCGGCAAAUGUUUAAAUCGUUAAUUACGUGUAAGUGCCAGUCAGUGGAUGCUGAUGCUUUUACAGAGAUUUGCAAGUUGGCAUUCCUUGGUUCCCAGAAAUAUUGUUAGCAUUCAUAACCAUGCUUAAAAGAGGGAGAAUGUUGUAAAAGCACAAAAGAAUGACCAAUGGCAUGUGAAAUUUGUUUUCAAGAUGAUUUACGUGGUGUUUGAAGACUAUUUCUCGUUCAUCUCAGUUUCUUUUAGUUCUGAAUUCAGAUUAAAUGAUGUUCCUAAGGGAUUAAAUAGAAAAAUAUGGAGCUUUAACCCUUGUUUAGUCCCUUGAACAUGAAUUGUACAGUACAAAUAUUUGUUUUUAGAUUUGAAAGGCUGUAUGAAAUGUCUUUUGGGACUGAAACUAGUUUUUUGGGCAGACAAACUUUUUAUGUGUCAUUUCUUUGAGUGGAGUUUGUGUUGCAUCGCUUCAAUCCUUCUUCAAGGUAUGCCAUGUAAAAGUAAUCGGUUUUGCAUUUGUAGCUGGUCAUGAAUUUAUUAAUUGAAUGGGAAUUUGCACAGACAUUUACUUUAAUUUGUAUGAAUUUGGCAGACACUCUUUUUCACAAUACGUUUGUUUAUGUGUUAGGAUUAUAUUUUCGAAACAGCAUUAUAGUUGUAAAAAAAUAUGAUCAUUUAAGGCAGCAACUGAACUUAAAGGAAUACUUCAUCCAAAAAUUAAAAUUUGCUUACAAACAUGCGACUUUUCAUUUCACAGCACAUUAACUGAUGAACUGGAGUCGUGUGGAUUACUUGUGGGUUAUUGUGAUGUUUUUAUCAGCUGUUUGGACUCUCAUUCUGAUGGCACCCAUUCACUGCAGAGGAUCCAUUACUGAGCAAGUGAUGUAAUGCAAAAUUUCUCCAAAUCUAUUCUGAUGCAAAAAUUAAAAUUUGCUUACAAACAUGCGACUUUUCAUUUCACAGCACAUUAACUGAUGAACUGGAGUCGUGUGGAUUACUUGUGGGUUAUUGUGAUGUUUUUAUUCAGCUGUUUGGACUCUCAUUCUGAUGGCACCCAUUCACUGCAGAGGAUCCAUUACUGAGCAAGUGAUGUAAUGCAAAAUUUCUCCAAAUCUAUUCUGAUGAAGAAACAAACUCAUCAACAUUUUGGUUGACCUCAAGGUGACUAAAUUUUCAGCAAAUUUUCAUUUUUUUUUUGGAAUCAGGUGUUAUUUUAAACAUUAAUUUAUUCAUUUGUAAAAUAAUUUAAUUUAAUAGAAACCUACAGUUGAAUGAAUUAUGGGACAAACUGAGAUUGUUGUUGGUGGUUAUCAACAACAUGCAGCAGAUGCAGACCAUAGUCUGUUGUACACAAUGCACACAUGUAAAAAAAUAUAUAUAAGGCUGCAAUAUGUAACCGCAGUGUGCAGAGAAUGAUCCAUCAAAAAAUGUACCCAUUAGCCACUGGUAAUGGCUGCUGAAACUGGUGCACAGCUGCACAGAACCGCAGAGCACCUGCUGCAUGAGCUAAUGUCCUUCAUCUCACCGCAGGCCACACGCUAAAUCAUCAUGUGCAUCUGUUAAAAACAUUGUUAGGUGAAAAAAGAUGAGAUGGCAUAAUAAAAAUCCUACCAAAUUAGAUUGAGCAGACAUGUGGUGUUCCUACUGCACAUCUCAGAAUGUUCCAGCAGGUUAAUGUUAAUGAUAAUAUGGUGUGGCACUCUGUUCAGACUGUGCUCGACUUACUCUUCAAUCCUCUUAGCAUGGCCUCU